UACUUCUUCCUCCUCCAGACUUGACCGUCUUCAACACCAACGAAGGGGAGGGUUUGUUCCAAGAAGUGAAAGACACCGCGAAUAGAUGCCUGUCGAAUGGGGACGCGUACUUCGAUGCUGUGUCUCCACUUUGUCUUACUUUUUUACGUUUUUGUUGUCGUUCUACCUUCUACCAGGUCCGGAGGUGGCCCUUGAGACUUUUAGUUGUGUCUACCACGGAAGAACUUCCUCUGUUUAUGACCUCCGACCCCGAAACAAUAAUCUCUACUAACACCACUCCACUACCGACGUCCACGUCCGUUAGAUCUCGCUCAGAGACUACGUGAAGUAAGGCUCCGCAACCGCUACGAAAUACGGUAUUUGUGUUGGUAAGUCGAUCCAACACUAUUUCAUUAUUAACUUUGACUAAGGUAUGUUGACUUCUUACGUUGUUGGUGACUUCUGAAGCUGAACAGUCGUAAUCCACGAUAUAAGUCUCUAUAAUUCCGAGUUAACAUGCAUCCAAAGUUACUACAUACACACCACAGAACGGGAGCUAGAACAUUACAUCACCACGUGUUCGAUCGAUGAAUGCCUCGAUUUGAUCCUCGAUCGAAUACAUUUCGAACCGAACCCGUCCAGGGUCU
rnacentral:rRNA from 1 species